UUGGAGGGCAAGUCUGGUGCCAGCAGCCGCGGUAAUUCCAGCUCCAAUAGCGUAUAUUAAAGUUGUUGCAGUUAAAAAGCUCGUAGUUGAAUUUCGAGACCGGUCUACUGGUCGUGCUUUUGUACGUACUGGUAUAAUCGGUUUCUCUCUUCUGACGAACUAUAAUGCCAUUAAUUUGGUGUUUUAGGGAAUCAGGACUGUUACUUUGAAAAAAUUAGAGUGUUUAAAGCAGGCUCACGCUUGAAUACAUUAGCAUGGAAUAACGAAAUAGGACGUUUGAUUUUAUUUUGUUGGUUUCUAGGAUCGACGUAAUGAUUAAUAGGGAUAGUUGGGGGCAUUAGUAUUCAAUUGUCAGAGGUGAAAUUCUUGGAUUUAUUGAAGACUAACUACUGCGAAAGCAUUUGCCAAGGAUGUUUUCAUUAAUCAAGAACGAAAGUUAGGGGAUCGAAGACGAUCAGAUACCGUCGUAGUCUUAACCAUAAACUAUGCCGACUAGGGAUCGGAUGAUGUUAAAUUAAUGACUCAUUCGGCGCCUUACGGGAAA
rnacentral:rRNA from 1 species